rnacentral:rRNA from 1 species
AUACGGAGGGAGCGAGCGUUGUUCGGAAUCAUUGGGCGUAAAGGGCAUGUAGGCGGCUUUGCAAGUCGGAUGUGAAAUCCCAUUACUCAAAGAUGGAAUGGCAUUCGUAACUGCAAGGCUUGAGUGCAGGGGAAGAGAGCGGAAUUCUCGGUGUAGCGGUGAAAUGCGUAGAUAUCGAGAAGAACACCAGCGGCGUAAGCGGCUCUCUAUCCUGACACUGACGCUGAGAUGCGAAAGCCAGGGGAGCGAACGGGAUUAGAUACCCCGGUAGUCCUGGCCAUAAACGAUGUGCACUUGGUGUUGGGCCGCGAGGCUCAGUGCCGAAGCUAACGCAUUAAGUGCACCGCCUGGGGAGUACGACCGCAAGGUUGAA